AAAUGGUUAAGCCAGAUCAUGCAUCCUCCCAGGCAAAGAAGCCAAGCUCUGUGAGUUGACAGAUCUCUGGACUGAACCAUCCCCAUCUGUCUCCAUACACUCCAUGUGACCAUUCACAGAAAGAUUUGCAAGGAGCUGCAAAAACAAACCGCAUUCCCCAGGCAAUGGUGCCCUUCCUUCGUGGGUUGCAAGACAUCUCAUACACUUUCAUCUGACCCUCCGAACAACCCAGUAAGGCCAGAAGAGGGCACCAGAUCUCAUUAUAG